UUGAGAAAAAAUUAUACAUUUAAAAUGCAUAUAAAAUUUAAUUUCACCUUUUCUCUCUCACAGCAACAGUCUCUCCUGCUGAACCUGCAGAUGUAAACACACCAACAGUCUCUCCUGCUGAACCUGCAGAUGCAAACACACCAACAGCCCCUCCUAAUGCUGAACCUGCAGAUGUAAACACA